rnacentral:rRNA from 1 species
UACGUAGGCAGCAAGCGUUGUUCGGAGUUACUGGGCGUAAAGAGUGCGUAGGCGGUUCCGUAAGUUUGUUGUGAAAUCUCCCGGCUUAACUGGGAGGGUGCGGCGAAGACUGCGGAGCUGGAGUAUGGGAGAGGCAGGCGGAAUUCCUGGUGUAGCGGUGAAAUGCGUAGAUAUCAGGAGGAACACCGGUGGUGUAGACGGCUUGCUGGACCAUGACUGACGCUGAGGCACGAAAGCGUGGGGAGCAAACAGG